GUGCUCACUUUGGCAGCACGUAUACUAAAAUCGGAACAACACAGCGAAGAUUAGCAUUGCCCCUGCACAGGGAUGAUAUGCAAAUUCAUGAAGCAUUUCAUUUUAAA
rnacentral:snRNA from 1 species